UUAAGAAACAAAGAGCGCACGGUGGAUGCCUUGGCACUAAUAGGCGAAGAAGGACGCGACUAACAGCGAAAUGCUACGGGGAGCAGUAAGUACGCAGAGAUCCGUAGAUGUCCGAAUGGGGGAACCCACUAGUUUGAAGAACUAGUAUCAUAUAGUGAAUACAUAGCUAUAUGAGGCAAACCUGGAGAAUUGAAACAUCUUAGUACCCAGAGGAAAAGAAAAUAAAUAAUGAUUCCCUAAGUAGAGGCGAUUGAAAGGGGAAGAGCCCAGCACCAUCAAGAGUUACAAAAUCUUUUUAUAGUAGAAUUGUAUUGGAAAAGCAAGUCAAAGAAGGUGAAAGCCCUGUAUACGAAAUAAAGAGAUCUCGGUGUGAGAGUAGGGCGGAGCACGUGAAAUUCUGUCUGAAUAUGCGAGGACCAUCUCGUAAGGCUAAAUACUCAUUAGUGACCGAUAGUGAACCAGUACUGUGAAGGAAAGGUGAAAAGAACCCCUGGCGGGGAGUGAAAAGAACCUGAAACCGUGUGCUUACAAACAGUUAGAGCCCAUCAAUGGGUGAUAGCGUGCCUUUUGUAGAAUGAGCCGGCGAGUUACGUUAAUUUGCAAGGUUAAGCUUUUAGGAGUGGAGCCGUAGCGAAAGCAAGUCUUAAUAGGGCGAAUAAGUAGAUUGACGUAUACCCGAAACCGGGUGAUCUAGCCAUGAGCAGGUUGAAGCUUGGGUAAAACCAGGUGGAGGACCGAACCAGGGUCUGUUGAAAAAGACUUGGAUGACUUGUGGCUAGGGGUGAAAUUCCAAUCGAACCCGGAGAUAGCUGGUUCUCCCCGAAAUAGCUUUAGGGCUAGCGUUGUGAGAAGAGUUAUACGAAGGUAGAGCACUGAAUGGGUGAGGGCCGCACCUCGCGGUACCAAUCUCAAUCAAACUCCGAAUGUCGUAUAAUAUGCGCAGCAGUAAGACUAUGGGUGAUAAGGUCCAUGGUCAAAAGGGAAACAGCCCAGACCGCCAGUUAAGGUCCCAAAAUUAUGCUAAGUGGGAAAGGAGGUGGAGUCGCUUAAACAACUAGGAGGUUGGCUCAGAAGCAGCCAUCCUUUAAAGAGUGCGUAAUAGCUCACUAGUCGAGUGAUUCUGCGCCGAAAAUGUAUCGGGGCUAAGCAUAAUACCGAAGCUGCGGGAUUAGAUGAAGAAUCUAAUCGGUAGGGGAGCGUACUAAGUGCGUAGAAGGUUGACCGGAAGGGCAGCUGGAGCGCUUAGCAGUGAGUAUGCCGGUGUGAGUAGCGAUAAGAUGGGUGAGAAUCCCAUCCGUCGAAAGCCUAAGGUUUCCAGGGGUAAGGCUCGUCCUCCCUGGGUAAGUCGGGUCCUAAGGUGAGGCUGAGAAGCGUAGCUGAUGGACAUCAGGUUGAUAUUCCUGAACCACCAUAAAACUGAAGGAAUGACGGAGGAGGCUAAUCAGAGCUGAUUAAUGGAUUUCAGUUUAAGUACAAAGAGGGUUACGUAGGCAAAUCCGCGUAGCAAAACCUUGAAGUAUGAUGACGUAAGUCUGGUGAAGCCACACUUCCAAGAAAAGUUUCUAGGUGUAUUUUAUGGUGCCCGUACCGUAAACGGACACACGUAGGCGAGGAGAGAAUCCAAAGACGCGCGAGAUAAUUCUUGUUAAGGAACUCUGCAAAAUUACUCUGUAACUUCGGAAUAAAGAGGGCUCCCGUGAGGGAGACGCAGAAAAUAGGCCCAAGCGACUGUUUAACAAAAACAUAGGUUUCUGCUAAAGCGUAAGCUGAUGUAUAGGAGCUGACGCCUGCCCAGUGCUGGAAGGUUAAGAGGAGAAGUUAGUCGCAAGGCGAAGCUUUGAAUUGAAGCCCCAGUAAACGGCGGCCGUAACUAUAACGGUCCUAAGGUAGCGAAAUUCCUUGUCAGGUAAGUUCUGACCCGCACGAAAGGCGUAAUGAUUGGGGUGCUGUCUCAACAAGAAACUCGGUGAAAUCAUAGUACCUGUGAAGAUGCAGGUUACCCGCGAUCAGACGGAAAGACCCCAUGGAGCUUCACUGCAACUUAAUAUUGAUAUUGGGUGUGUGAUGUACAGGAUAGGUGGGAGACAAAGAAGCGAGUACGCUAGUAUUCGUGGAGUCAACCUUGGGAUACCACCCCUCGCACAUUUAGUAUCUAACUAGUUUCCAUAAGCUGGGAAUAGAACAGUGUUAGGUGGGCAGUUUGACUGGGGCGGUCGCCUCCCAAAGAGUA
rnacentral:rRNA from 1 species